rnacentral:rRNA from 1 species
AUUGAACGCUGGCGGCAGGCCUAACACAUGCAAGUCGAACGAGUGGCGGACGGGUGAGUAAUGUCUGGGAAACUCCCUGAUGGAGGGGGAUAACUACUGGAAACGGUAGCUAAUACCGCAUACCAUCAAAUGAGCCCAAAUGGGAUUAGGUGGUUGGUGGGGUAACGGCUCACCAAGCCGACGAUCCCUAGCUGGUCUGAGAGGAUGACCAGCAAAACUGGAACUGAGACACGGUCCAGACUCCUACGGGAGGCAGCAGUGGGGAAUAUUGCACAAUGGGCGCAAGCCUGAUGCAGCCAUGCCGCGUGUAUGAAGAAGGCCUUCGGGUUGUAAAGUACUUUCAGCGGGGAGGCGUUACCCGCAGAAGAAGCACCGGCUAACUCCGUGCCAGCAGCCGCGGUAAUUC